rnacentral:rRNA from 1 species
ACGGGUGAGGAACACGUAGGAAUCUACCCAGAAGCGGGGGACAACCAAGGGAAACUUUGGCUAAUACCGCAUAAUCUCGCGAGAGAAAAGGCGCCCGCAAGGGUGUCACUUCUGGAAGAGCCUGCGUCCGAUUAGCUAGUUGGUAGGGUAAGAGCCUACCAAGGCAAUGAUCGGUAACUGGUCUGAGAGGACGACCAGUCACACUGGGACUGAGACACGGCCCAGACUCCUACGGGAGGCAGCAGUGGGGAAUAUUGGACAAUGGGGGCAACCCUGAUCCAGCGAUGCCGCGUGGGUGAAGAAGGCCUUCGGGUUGUAAAGCCCUUUAGGUUGGGAAGAAGUUAGUUAGGUUAAUAACCUAAUUGAUUGACGGUACCGACAGAAUAAGCACCGGCAAACUCUGUGCCAGCAGCCGCGGUAAUACAGAGGGUGCAAGCGUUAAUCGGAGUUACUGGGCGUAAAGGGCGCGUAGGCGGUUGUAUGUGUGUGAUGUGAAAGCCCUGGGCUUAACCUAGGAAGUGCAUCGCAAACUAUAUAACUGGAGUAUAUGAGAGGGUGGCGGAAUUUCCGGUGUAGCGGU